GAUGAACGCUGGCGGCGUGCCUAAUACAUGCAAGUCGAGCGAACAGAUGAGGAGCUUGCUCCUCUGACGUUAGCGGCGGACGGGUGAGUAACACGUGGAUAACCUACCUAUAAGACUGGGAUAACUUCGGGAAACCGGAGCUAAUACCGGAUAAUAUAUUGAACCGCAUGGUUCAAUAGUGAAAGACGGUUUUGCUGUCACUUAUAGAUGGAUCCGCGCCGCAUUAGCUAGUUGGUAAGGUAACGGCUUACCAAGGCAACGAUGCGUAGCCGACCUGAGAGGGUGAUCGGCCACACUGGAACUGAGAGGGGGGCCAGACUCCUACGGGAGGCAGCAGUAGGGAAUCUUCCGCAAUGGGCGAAAGCCUGACGGAGCAACGCCGCGUGAGUGAUGAAGGUCUUCGGAUCGUAAAACUCUGUUAUUAGGGAAGAACAAAUGUGUAAGUAACUAUGCACGUCUUGACGGUACCUAAUCAGAAAGCCACGGCUAACUACGUG
rnacentral:rRNA from 1 species